UGCUGAAACACAAUAGCAAUUUAUAUGUUGGAAAGCUCCCAUGUCUGUCAAAACAUGUUAGACACUGCAUCAACAGCAAGCUGCUUAAAUUGCCACAGUGAAUUUCUUAGCUAUUUGCAAACUGUUUGGAAGUAUGAAGAAAUGGCAGAAUUUUUACAAGACAAAGAAGUUGAGAUGCCAAUGGACCCAUCAGCAAUUCCUGAUGCCAAGAAUCACCAUCCCCCAUGAUCUGCCCAAAUGCUCCAGUUUCCCACUGAUAUACCCCCUCCAUUCCUUGAGGCCAGCAGAUAAGGUGUUGUUCAAGACUUGGCAGAACUAGCAUCCCAAGGAUCAACUGAAGCCACAGUGUAUUGAAACUAUUGAGGUGUUCCUGACUACACACAUUGGUCAAGCUAGCAGGACUGAAACCAGAACAGAAAAAUAAAUGAAAUUCUACAGAGUGACUAUGUCAUACGAGAAGUGUGAAAACAGAAACAUGGGAAUAGCAACAUUUAC